rnacentral:rRNA from 1 species
UACAGAGGGGGCAAGCGUUGUUCGGAAUUACUGGGCGUAAAGGCGCGUAGGCGGCCUGCUAAGUCGAACGUGAAAUCCCCGGGCUCAACCCGGGAACUGCGUCCGAUACUGGUUGGCUUGAAUCCGGGAGAGGGAUGCGGAAUUCCAGGUGUAGCGGUGAAAUGCGUAGAUAUCUGGAGGAACACCGGUGGCGAAGGCGGCAUCCUGGACCUUACUGACGCUGAGGCGCGAAAAGCUAGGGGGAGCGAACGG